UACGGGGGGGGCAAGCGUUGUUCGGAAUUACUGGGCGUAAAGGGCUCGUAGGUGGCCAACUAAGUCAGACGUGAAAUCCCUCAGCUUAACUGGGGAACUGCGUCUGAUACUGGAUGGCUUGAGAUUGGGAGAGGGAUGCGGAAUUCCAGGUGUAGCGGUGAAAUGCGUAGAUAUUGGGAAGAACACCUGAGGCGAAGGCGGGUUGCUGGGCCGACACUGACGCUGAGGCGCGAAAGCCAGGGGAGCAAACGGG
rnacentral:rRNA from 1 species